rnacentral:rRNA from 1 species
GACGAACGCUGGCGGCGUGCUUAACACAUGCAAGUCGAACGGGCCUUGUCCCCUUUUUUUUUGGGGGUGGGGUUAGUGGCGAACGGGUGAGUAACACGUGAGUAACCUGCCCCUCACUUCUGGAUAACCGCUUGAAAGGGUGGCUAAUACGGGGUGUUCUGGCCUGCUCGCAUGGGUGGGUUUGGAAAGAUUCGACCGGUUUUGGUUGUUUUGGUGGGGGAUGGGCUCGCGGCCUAUCAGCUUGUUGGUGGGGUGAUGGCCUGCCAAGGCUUUGACGGGUAGCCGGCCUGAGAGGGUGGGCGGUCACACUGGGACUGAGACACGGCCCAGACUCCUACGGGAGGCAGCAGUGGGGCAUAUUGCACGAUGGGCGCAAGCCUGAUGCAGCGACGCCGCGUGAGGGAUGGAGGCCUUCGGGUUGUGAACCUCUUUCGCCAGUGAAGAAGGUCCUGCUCUUUGUGGUGGGGUUGACGGUAGCUGGGUUAAUGAAGCGCCGGCUAACUACGUG